GCUCCAAUCAGAUCAUAUUUAGUACCAACAUGUUCUCUGUAGCUCUGCUGCUGCUGCUGGCUGCUCGAUCCUGUGUGAAGUGUGCACAGCUGACACAGCCAGCCUCUGUGAUUGUGCAGCCAGGUCAGCGUCUGACCAUCACCUGUCAGGUCUCUUAUUCUCUGAGUGGCGACUGGACAGCUUGGAUCAGACAGCCUGCAGGGAAAGGACUGGAGUGGAUUGGAAUGAAAUACACUGGGGACUCUCGCUAUAAAGAUUCACUAAAGAGCAAGUUCAGCAUUCAGUUAGAUACUUCAAGCAAGACAGUUACUCUAAAUGGACAGAAUAUGCAACCUGAAGACACUGCUGUGUAUUACUGUGCCAGAGGACCACAGUAACACAAAACAUCACCAAACCU